rnacentral:rRNA from 1 species
UGUGAACAUACCAAUUGUUGCCUCGGCGGAUCAGCCCGCUCCCGGUAAAACGGGACGGCCCGCCAGAGGACCCCUAAACUCUGUUUCUAUAUGUAACUUCUGAGUAAAACCAUAAAUAAAUCAAAACUUUCAACAACGGAUCUCUUGGUUCUGGCAUCGAUGAAGAACGCAGCAAAAUGCGAUAAGUAAUGUGAAUUGCAGAAUUCAGUGAAUCAUCGAAUCUUUGAACGCACAUUGCGCCCGCCAGUAUUCUGGCGGGCAUGCCUGUUCGAGCGUCAUUUCAACCCUCAAGCCCCCGGGUUUGGUGUUGGGGAUCGGCGAGCCCUUGCGGCAAGCCGGCCCCGAAAUCUAGUGGCGGUCUCGCUGCAGCUUCCAUUGCGUAGUAGUAAAACCCUCGCAACUGGUACGCGGCGCGGCCAAGCCGUUAAACCCCCAACUUCUGAAUGUUGACCUCGGAUCAGGUAGGAAUACCCGCUGAACUUAAGCAUAUCAAUAAGCGGAGGAA